GACGAACGCUGGCGGCGUGCUUAACACAUGCAAGUCGAACGGAAAGGCCCUGCUUUUGUGGGGUGCUCGAGUGGCGAACGGGUGAGUAACACGUGAGUAACCUGCCCUUGACUUUGGGAUAACUUCAGGAAACUGGGGCUAAUCCCGGAUAGGAGCUCCUGCUGCAUGGUGGGGGUUGGAAAGUUUCGGCGGUUGGGGAUGGACUCGCGGCUUAUCAGCUUGUUGGUGGGGUAGUGGCUUACCAAGGCUUUGACGGGUAGCCGGCCUGAGAGGGUGACCGGCCACAUGGGGACUGCGAUACGGCCCAGACUCCUACGGGAGGCAGCAGUGGGGAAUAUUGCACAAUGGGCGGAAGCCUGAUGCAGCAACGCCGCGUGCGGGAUGACGGCCUUCGGGUUGUAAACCGCUUUCGCCUGUGACGAAGCGUGAGUGACGGUAAUGGGUAAAGAAGCACCGGCUAACUACGUG
rnacentral:rRNA from 1 species